UACGUAGGGUGCAAGCGUUGUCCGGAAUUAUUGGGCGUAAAGAGCUCGUAGGCGGCUUGUUGCGUCGGCUGUGAAAACCUGGGGCUCAACCCCGGGCCUGCAGCCGAUACGGGCAGCUAGAAUUCGGUAGGGGAGACUGGAAUUCCUGGUGUAGCGGUGAAAUGACGCAGAUAUCAGGAGGAACACCGGUGGCGAAGGCGGGUCUCUGGGCCGAAAUUGACGCUGAGGAGCGAAAGCGUGGGGAGCGAACAGG
rnacentral:rRNA from 1 species